UAGGGAAUCUUGCGCAAUGGCCUAAAGCCUGACGCAGCCAUGCCGCGUGAAUGAUGAAGGUCUUAGGAUUGUAAAAUUCUUUCACCGGGGAAGAUAAUGACGGUACCCGGAGAAGAAGCCCCGGCUAACUUCGUGCCAGCAGCCGCGGUAAUACGAAGGGGGCUAGCGUUGCUCGGAAUUACUGGGCGUAAAGGGCGCGUAGGCGGACAGUUUAGUCAGAGGUGAAAGCCCAGGGCUCAACCUUGGAAUUGCCUUUGAUACUGGCUGUCUUGAGUUCGGGAGAGGUGAGUGGAAUGCCGAGUGUAGAGGUGAAAUUCGUAGAUAUUCGGCGGAACACCAGUGGCGAAGGCGACUCACUGGCCCGAUACUGACGCUGAGGCGCGAAAGCGUGGGGAGCAAACAGGAUUAGAUACCCUGGUAGUCCACGCUGUAAACGAUGAGUGCUAGUUGUCGGCAUGCAUGCAUGUCGGUGACGCAGCUAACGCAUUAAGCACUCCGCCUGGGGAGUACGGUCGCAAGAUUA
rnacentral:rRNA from 1 species